rnacentral:rRNA from 1 species
UACGAAGGGGGCUAGCGUUGCUCGGAAUCACUGGGCGUAAAGGGUGCGUAGGCGGGUUUUUAAGUCAGGGGUGAAAUCCUGGAGCUCAACUCCAGAACUGCCUUUGAUACUGGAAGAUCUUGAGUCCGGGAGAGGUGAGUGGAACUCCGAGUGUAGAGGUGAAAUUCGUAGAUAUUCGGAAGAACACCAGUGGCGAAGGCGGCUCACUGGCCCGGUACUGACGCUGAUGUGCGAAAAGCGUGGGGAGCAAACAGGG